UACGAAGGGUGCUAGCGUUGUUCGGAAUCACUGGGCGUAAAGCGCGCGUAGGCGGCCAAUCAAGUCAGGGGUGAAAUGCCGGAGCUUAACUUCGGAACUGCCUUUGAAACUGAUUGGCUGGAAGAUGAGAGGGGAUAGCGGAAUUUCUGGUGUAGAGGUGAAAUUCGUAGAUACCAGAAGGAACACCGGUGGCGAAGGCGGCUAUCUGGCUCAUUCUUGACGCUCUGGCGCGAAAAGCGUGGGGGAUCAAACAGGG
rnacentral:rRNA from 1 species